CUCCUCACAGCGGUGAUGCGCAGUGUUGAAACUGGCAGUCACAUUUGCCUCUGCAGAAAGAAUUUGGAUGUGAAGUCAAGGGGAUUUCUCUCCUGUCUCCUCAGAAGGAGGCUUCUUCCACGGAAGGUGAGAUAAAGGAAGGAACAGCCCAACUUUUGGUGACAGAGGAAGAAUUCAACUGUUCCAGGCCGGUGAUUCACCACCACACUGCCGAAUGAUCCAGCAGUCAGCUUGCGGAUGCUUGAAGGCAGAAAGAAAGAUUUCUCCCUUAAUCUUUUCAAAAUCAC
rnacentral:lncRNA from 1 species